rnacentral:rRNA from 1 species
UUAGAAGCAGCCAUCCUUUAAAGAAAGCGUAACAGCUCACUGGUCAAGCGCUCCUGCGCGGAAAAUGUAACGGGGCUUAAGUGAUACACCGAAGCUGCGGAUUCGAUCUUUGAUCGAGUGGUAGCGGAGCGUUCUGUAGGCCGAUGAAGGCGGACCCGCGAGGGCCGUUGGAGGUAUCAGAAGUGAGAAUGCUGACAUGAG